rnacentral:rRNA from 1 species
CCCAUUUAUCAUUACACAUAUAACUAGAUCUCAGGGGAGGUCUCGCCUCUUUCUGAGAUGUAUGUUAUACCCAUUGUCUUUUGCGUACUACUUGUUUCCUUGGUAGGCUUGCCUGCCAAUAGGACAAAAUCAAAACCUUUUGUAAUUGCAGUCAGCGUCAGAAAUAACUUUUAAUAGUUACAACUUUCAACAACGGAUCUCUUGGUUCUGGCAUCGAUGAAGAACGCAGCGAAAUGCGAUAAGUAGUGUGAAUUGCAGAAUUCAGUGAAUCAUCGAAUCUUUGAACGCACAUUGCGCCCCUUGGUAUUCCAUGGGGCAUGCCUGUUCGAGCGUCAUUUGUACCCUCAAGCUUUGCUUGGUGUUGGGCGUUUGUCUCGCGUUGCGCGUAGACUCGCCUUAAAGCGAUUGGCAGCCGGCAUAUUGGCCUUGGAGCGCAGCACAUUUUGCGAAUCCAGUCAUUUAUGUUGGCGUCCAUUAAGCCUAUACAUUUUGCUCUUGACCUCGGAUCAGGUAGGGAUACCCGCUGAACUUAAGCAUAUCAUAAAGCGGGAGGAAAAAA